rnacentral:rRNA from 1 species
AGUGAACGUUGGCGGCGUGGAUUAGGCAUGCAAGUCGAGCGAGAACCGUAGCAAUACGGGGACAGCGGCGAAAGGGACAGUAAUGUGUAGGUACCUACCCCCGGGUUCGGGAUAGCUGCGGGAAACUGCAGGUAAUACCGAAUAAUGUCUCCGGACCAAAGGUGUGAUUCCACCUGGGGAGGGGCCUGCAUCCUAUUAGCUUGUUGGUGGGGUAACGGCCUACCAAGGCGACGAUGGGUAGCGGGUGUGAGAGCAUGACCCGCGUCAUUGGGACUGAGACACUGCCCAGACACCCAGGGGUGGCUGCAGGCGAGAAUCUUCGGCAAUGGGCGAAAGCCUGACCGAGCGACGCCGCGUGCGGGAUGAAGGCCUUCGGGUUGUAAACCGCUGUCGUAGAGGAGGAAAUGCAAGGGGGUUCUCCCCUUUGCUUGACCUAUUCUAGGAGGAAGUACGGGCUAAGUUCGUGCCAGCCGCCGCGGUAAGAC